GAAGGAAGGGCCCCGAGUUGUGGCUGGGGUUUGGGUGCAGGGUUUGGGCUGUGGCCGUGCCCCCACUCGCAGUGGGCAAUUUCCCUCUGGCCUGUGUGUUGUGCUGGCUGGGGCAGUAACGGAGAGCUUUGGUUGCCUGGGGAAUGGUUGGUGGUUGCCUCUGGAAUGGAGAAGGGCUUUGUGUUGUACCUUCACGGGGAAGCGAGUAAAUCCCGGCUAUUUACAGAGCAGAAGUUGGGCUGUAAUGUAACAUAGCGCUUUGCUUUUCAUCUGCAAGGAUUUGGCAAAUCCAAGGCUUGGGAGCACAGUUGGGUCUCUUCCACAGCCCCAUGGCAAGAGCAAAGUCGGGAGGAAAGGAUGGGAGUUUGGAAGCGGGAUGCUCCACUUCUCUUUUGGAUAAUAGUGAUGAAAACACAGAUUUAUCCUUUUGGGGCUGGGGGUCAAUCUAAAAUUCAGCUUAAAAGCAGCAGAUGUGUACAAAAGGAGCUCUGAGUCCAUUGAUUGGUUCCACUUUGCACAAGGAUAAGUGUCUAAAUCCCAACCCACCUUCUGUGUCCUGAAACUGCUCUGAUUGACUAUGAUGGAACAAAGUGUAAUGCUGAAAGAAAACACUCUCUGUUCUCCUACAGCUUAGAUGAGAAGCUGAGCCUGGCCAGCAGCCAGUGGCUAGUCUGGGAGUUGUGGUUUGCAAGUGUUUGUGAUCAGAUGACACGAAACUAGUGCUUAGAAAGAUGUAGAGGACCUGAAACACUCGUAAGGCUUGCCAGUUCUGAAGUCCUGCACGUUGAUACCGUGGUUGUAUCACAUCUUUUAUUUUGAGAAGGAAAGAUAAACUGUUCUGUUGUUUAGCUGAUUAAAACAUAACUAAAUGACACGGCUGCAAAUAUUGGUGCUUCUGUGUGUUUUUCCACCACUGAGGAGGCGAUUGGAAAGGGGGCUGCUGCAGGUGUCAAUGAAACAGCUCCCUUGUCCAUGUCCUAGAGGAGUAACAAAGCUCCAGUGAAGGAUCGAACUCAUCAGGUUUUGCUGUUCACUUUCCACACAGAAAUAAUGUGGGGGAAAAGGAAGAAGCCAGAAGUAAGAACAGGAAAUAUAGUCAGGAUGGGCCACUUUCACAGCCUCCGUGUCGGGAAGACAGCUGGACGGCGUGGCUUAUUUUCCCCCAGUUCCUAUUGUGCUUGGAUCAGUCAACCUUAGGGACGAGGAAGUGCACAGUACAGCUCAGCUUUUGUAACUCCGCAUUUCGUUUGGAAAUGUUAUCAAAACAAACAGAUGUCAGCAGGAUGAACGUUAAGGCCUGUGCAGAAUCUGCUCUGUCAGAAACGAGUUCAGAGUCAGUUUUGCCUGCCUAAACAUUUCGCCCAGCAGCUCAUUAAAAUGGAUAUAUUCAAAGGAAACUUCCCCCCCCCACCCCAGAUUAGAUCAUUCCUGUGAUAAGAGCAUUAACAAGCAUAUUUUGCCAUAAAUAAAAUGAACAAGCCUCGAGGGCAAGGAAGGUUAUUUAGCCUGCAGGAAGUUAUAUCCCACACUCGUCCUUUACGGAAUAAGGGAACCAGUUCACCUCUUUGUUGUAGCUGAGAACAAGCCCGACAAUGGCCUCUGACCAGCAGAAUGGGCAAAGUGGGGUUUCUUCCAGCUGCUGGUGAAAGGUGGCAGCUUGACAGCUCUGGGGAGCCUUAACCCACACAGCAGGUAGAGCAAUGGCAGCACAAGCUUCCCCUGCAGCACACCCACUCUGACCUGCUCACCCACUGCACCUCUUCAGCCAGAAAAAGCCCUGGGAUGGGGAGAGGACCCGUGAGCUGUGCAGGCCUUGGCAGCUCCCCACUGCUUGCUUUGUACGUGACAAACCAAAAUCUAAAGACAAACAGUGUUAUCACAAUAUCUAGAAGGGAUUGACAGCAAAGUGCUGUCACAUAAGCCACCAAGCCGCCGACACAGUUAGGAGUGGAGGCUUUAAAAUGAAGGCAGCUCUAUUUCAUUGCUAGAAUUUUCCAGUUUUCCUAAAGCUGUUUUAGGUACACAUUAACUUACCCUGUCUCCUGAUUGUUAUUAACUCCAGAAGAAACUGAGAUUUGAAGGGUUCAUUGCUUACCCUGCUGGAAAGGCUUGAGCCAGUGCAAAGCAGCACCACUUACACAGCCGUGCUCCCAAGAGCAUCUCAAUGCCUGUCCCACUGUUGUCGAAGUAACUGGGCAUUAGGGGAGCUGUUGGUUCCCACAUGUCCUGCUGUGUGUAAGCCCAGCCAUUCCACACAGCUACCCAACUUCACCCACAGAGCUUCCCACUGCAGAGGCAGGGCAGCCUAAUCUUUGGGGACUGCAAGGGCACACUUCCACACAGAGCUAAGUGUGUGCUCAUAACUCUUAAUAAGACCAGUAAUUUUUCUGAGGUGCUAGAAGAUAAAGAGGUAGUGUAAGGAGGGCAAGAAACCUUGAAAUUACUGUUGAGGAUUGGACUGAUGACCUAGUUAGUUUGAUUUCCUGCUUACAGUGACUUCUACCAAGUACUUCAGGUGAUGAUCUGGAAACCUGCUUCAGAGGCAUGCAAAGAAAGGGAGCACUUGUGAUUACAGGAAAUAAAGUGGCUGGGCAGGAGUUAAGAACUAGUUCUGAAAUUUGGGGGGGAGGGAGGAGGAGUAUUUUAACUACUAUUUUGUUCCUCCAGACAUCUGCUCCCCAUAUAAAUGUCUGCUCUUCCUUGGGUCAGAAUGUUCCCAGGUCAGAUUGUCUAGUGGAUAUGUCCUUUCAAACUGCAGUGCAGAUUCCAGUGGUGGUCUGCCUUCCUGGUGCUUCCUUGAACUUUUGUCCUACAGCACAUUAAUUUCUUAGUUCACAGUUCCUUGCUCCCUGUGACGUUUCCAUGUUUGGCUUCUCACACAGACAUAUCUUCAAUCUCUGACUGCCGGCAGAGAUCAGGCAGCGGAGGAAGCCAAAGAUCAUGCACUAUGCAAGUGGGCAGCCUCAGCCUGUCUGCAGACUCAUUGAACUCAUUAGGGAGGAAAAGGUAAUCAGCUGUCCUUCAAGGAACAGGAUGUGGCAGGAAGCAGUGAGAGUCAGCAGGUCAGUCCUUAACAGCUGUCAGAACAAUGUGCACAGUACAGCAGCUCUGGAGUUCUACUAAAUCAACUCACGAGCUUAAUGGGCUACAGCAUGCACAUUGAAACUGGUCCCUGCGGAGACCAGAGUGCGGCUGCAGAUCCUGCACCAUACCUGUGACCACUUGUAUUCACUAGGCAGGGAAAAUAGCAGCCGUGUUUUACAUAUUUAAGCUUCCAAUGUCACCUCUCAGGCCUUGCAGCCCUCCUGCUCCCUUUGGAGGCUGUAACUUACAGUGCUUGUGUCACUUGUGGAUGGGGAAAUUGAGGCAGGAUAAAGGACCAGCCUCAGGCUGUACAGAGGCAGAGGUGGGAUGGGAGCUGAAGAGAUCUGUCACCUCUGCUCCCUUCAGGCUACCUCCUCUGACCUUGAGUCCUAUGGAAAAUAGAUUGGGGGGGUUAGGUCACUUUUAAAAGUCUCCUCAAUGUACCUUUGAAAUACCAAAUAUGUUCCUUUGAACCUAAAUUAUCUGCCCUUAUCCUGCCUCAACUCUCAUUGAUAAUCCUCUUGUUUGCCUUUAAAAAUGUUUAUGGGAGAUUAUUCUUUGGCAGCAAUAGUUACGUUUCAUUCUCUUUUCUAUUAUACUGGGCUUUUCUUUCAAUGGAUUCCUGAUGUCUUGCCAUUUGCUAUUGUUAGGUUUAUGUAUUGUGGUUUUAAGAUUUUAAAUGGGUUCAGAAAAACGCUUGCUUGUGGUAACUGGAUACUUUUCCCCAUGAACUGUUUUGGAGGUGGCCACAAGAUAUGAAGCAAAGCUGUAU